GAAACACUUGCUUCCCAUUGAGGACAUGUCAGAUCCCCACAUCGCCCCAAAUCGCCCACUGGAUAAGCAAAGCUGGUUGAGCUGUGCUCAGCAAGCAAGCGGGUGCGGGGGAGACAGACAGCGUAGCAUCGGGGGUCCUGGUCCUGCCCGGAGCCUGGGCGAUCUGCUUAGGAGAUGCCGGGACAUCAGGAAGCCUGACUGUAAGCCCUGCUCUGCUUUUGAACCUUUUGGCACUGAAUUCACAGAAGUGUCCCUGGUGACAUUGUUGAGAUCCAAGUGCCGGGCGGGACGGGUUGCAGUUGGGCUGGCUCUGACAUCCCACUGGUGGUCUGUUCCUUGGGGGGCCCCGGGAUCACUGCUGAGGACCGUCACCUCCUCCCCAGCCUUCCCCGCACUGCACACCACCCGCCACCAGAGACAUGUGCAGGCGUCCCAGAGAUGUGGUGUCUUGUCUGUGAGGUUGGACAACUCUGAACUGAACAUCUGGAGCAGAGGGCUCAGGACUCUCCUCCUCAGUAUCAUCUGCUCCUCAAGCGUAGGAGACUUUUUUUUUUUUUUAAAGAUUAUUUAUUUUUUUAUUCAUGAUAGACAGAGAGAGGGAGAAGCAGGCUCCAUGCCGGGAGCCCGACGCGGGACUUGAUCGUGGGACUCCAGGAUUGUACCCUGGGCCAAAGGCAGGCGCCAAACCGCUGAGCCAUCCAGAGAUUCCCCGUAGGAGACUUUUUAAUCCAGAUGUAGCCCCAUAAAAACAAAUAAAUAGCAUGAUAUGGUGCA
rnacentral:lncRNA from 1 species